rnacentral:sRNA from 2 species
UAAGGCGAUUGGCGGGGGCCUGGAGGUUUCUGAAGACGACAUCCUUCGCGCAGUCAAGUCCCUCGAACCCCUUGGAUCAGGAUUCGCAAUUAUAAAAGUUGGCAGCAAACAAUUCAUCCGCUCAAUACCCAAGGAGCUCAACACAGACCAAGCCACAGUACUGGAAGUGAUUCAGAUCCUUGGUUUCGUUACUGUCUCGAUGCUGCAGCUUAAUUUGAACUGGGAAAAGGCGAGGUCGCAAACCGUCAUUGACGACCUUUUGGCUGAUAGCUUGGUUUGGGUUGAUACUCAGGGCGCGGAGAAAGAAUAUUGGUCGCCUCAGAAUUUGCUUGAUGAUGGCGAUUGAAUUAAGCCGUGUCAUCUGCACACGUUACAACCGUCUUGCAAAGAAAGGCGCUCAAACGCUGGAAGUCCUUUUGCUGUUUCCUCUAAGCCCUCGGGAAUAUAACGGUCGACGAUGGAGGGUAAACUUUAGCUUGAUAGGGGAUGGAGCGUCAACACCUGCCGCGAAAGUCUACUACCGCGACCACGGCCCGUUUUCGAGGCAGUUGGAUUCGCGCAAGAGGGCAGAGCGGCAUGGUAAUCGCAUUUGUGCGUUUGGCGGCGAUAGCAGCCUCCUCCAACAUCCUUCAACAGGGGAACUAGGGCGCUUCCGGGUGGAUGGAGGAGGAGG